UGCAUUUACUACUGUAAGUCGCUCUGGAUAAGAGCGUCUGCUAAAUUAAUAAAA
rfam:Salmo salar isolate Sally breed double haploid chromosome ssa28, whole genome shotgun sequence.